CCGAGAUUUGCUGUUUUUUUAAAAUCAGUUGUGCUUUCUUGCACACUGACAAUAAAGGAAUUCUGGUUCUGAUUCUGUCAUGAUCUCAGCCCCUCAGCUCCACCUUGACUGUACUGAUUACUCAUUACCCUCACCUGUGCUGUGCUGCGCCCUAUUUAAACAGCUGCUCAUCACCAGCUCAGUGCAAGAUCAUUUGUUGCCCCAGUCACAGCUUUCAAGCCUUGCCUCAUGUUUCAAAGUUUUCUGAGCUUGCCUGUUUUUGACCACAGAUUUUGCCUUGUCCCUUGGCUGCUGGAGGAUUUCUGACCUACUGUUGAUGAACCCUGCCUGACUCUGACCUUGCCUCAAGUUUUUCUGAUUUCUGGAUCUUCAUUGCCUGUGGCCCUCCUGUGAAUGAACCUGGAUUGUCCCUUGACUCAGCCUCUGAUUCUGAAAACACUUGAGACGGGGCAGAGGUAUGGCUUCCAGCAGGACAAACACCCUACACAUAAGGGUCAAGUCAGGAGGGCAGCAGCCUUUAACGGAGUGGCCCAGAUGUCCCUUUCCCCACCUGGGUCAGCUCCUUCCAGGAAAUCUCAAGGUUCCAAGGCCAGCUGACAAACAUCGUCCCUCCAGCGUGUCCUGAGUCUUCCCAUGGGUCUCCUCCUGGUGGGACAUGUCUGGCACACCUCAACAGGGAGGUGUCCAGGAGACAAUUCAUAUGUUUGGAUCAAGCCUUUCCCUAUUCCAACAGGCUCAGACAUCUUGAUUAAGUCGCACUCAUGCUGUAUGAAGCUCCUUUAUAAGUGUUCACAUUGCUGUUUUAUAGAAAUAAAACAGCAAUGUUUUAUUUCUAUAAAACAUUGCUGUUUUAUAGCAAUGUUAUAAAACAGCAACAAAAAAUUGCUGUUUUUAUAGAAAUAAAACAGCAAUGUGAACACUUCAGAUUUUCUCUAACCACUAACACUAAAUGUAAUUUUUCAUGUUAUCCAUUUCAUAGUAUGGAAAAUAAAAAUGCAAAUAAAUUUCAGCUUUUCCAGGUGUAGUAUUUACUUUAAAGAGAGUUAUGAUUUAAGUGUGUAGUUGUGGAGAGUAGCCUUUUCCUCUCCAAUAUAAUUAAACACUAACUCUUGUAAGGGGCAGUGAUAUCCAUAAUGCCAACCUUCAGCACAUAAAAGCCAUAAACACAAGACAAAUGUUCAUCAGCUGCACAAGUGAACAGUAAUCAAUCAUGUGACUGAGGAAAGAUUAUAUUCUGUGCAGGAGAGUGCUGAUGCUGACAUAAGGAUAUAAAUGAAUGCAUGCUAAUUGUAAGAAAUUUCCCUUCACAGAAGCACACAAACAGAUGAAAUAUACUGGCCUCAUCUAAGAGGAAAGAGAGAAGGAAUUGUGAUGGAUCAGCAGCAGAUCUACUAGAGAGAAUGGAGCUAUUGGAAGUACAACAGCAACACCAUGUGGCCAUGAAACACAACACCUCCAGCCCUGAAGAAUUCAUCAGGUAGAACCUGUAUGUACAAAGGCAGGUUCAGAAGAGCUCUCUUCAAGCAGUUUCUGAAAGAUUUCAUGACACAAGAAACAUACUAUCAUGGUCCAGAGAAAGAGCACAUUGUUUCUGCUCAGGGUUUAACAGGUCAGGAGGUAAAACAUGUGGAUAUAUCCAGGUUCUAAUUUCAUUCAUCCCCACUUUUAUUCUAAUCUUAACAAAGCAAAAAGUAUUCCCUUGUUGCCUCUUUGAGUAAGUGGGCAGUUUGCUGUUCUGGAGCUUUCAGGUGAAGAUUAGAACAAGUCAAGGAGGAAAGUCUUUGUGCUUGAUUUUAAAGAAGAGCCUUGUCGCUAAACAUAUUUCAAAACCGUUUCAAAACUAGCUGAAGUCAAUCAAAAAAAAAAAAAAGUUAUUUCUCAUGAGA